UAGCCGUAAACGAAUACUCGCUAGGUGUCGGCCACGGUGCGACCGUUGUCGGUGCCGUAGGGAAGCCGUGAAGCGAGCCACCUGGGAAGUACGGCCACAAGGCUGAAACUUAAAGGAAUUGGCGGGGGAGCACAACAACGGGUGGAGCUUGCGGUUUAAUUGGAUUCAACGCCGGAAAUCUUACCGGGACCGACAGCAACAUGAAGGCCAAGCUGAAGACUUUGCCGGAUUAGCUGAGAGGUGGUGCAUGGCGUAGUCGUGU
rnacentral:rRNA from 1 species